AUCGAAACGGAUUUUUUUUAUUUUUCAUCCAAAACCGAACCAAACCAUAGAUAAAAUUAGAAAUUUUUUUUUUCUACCCCAACAAUUGUCAAUCUACCCCAACAUUAAUUUUGAAUGGACGAAUUUGUCCUUAUAUAUAAACUAAAAUCAUAAAGAAAAAAAUUUGGUUAUUUACACACUUUGAAAAAAAGUAUGUAGGUAUGUAAAACUCUAAAUAUAUUUUGUUACCUAAACACUUUGGAAAAAAAGUGUUCAGGUAUGAUAAAUUUUUCAUCACAAUCUUCUUUUUCCAUGGUUGGUGUUCUCAUUGCAUCACUCAAAGAUUUUGUCACUCACAAUCAACACAUACUGCUUCUUUCUCCUCUGUUUCAUCCUCUGAUUUUUCUUCUUUAGCAUAUUAUGUAUCCAAUAUUUUCAUUUACAUCUAUGCCGCCAUCAUCAACCCACCACCAUCUUCUUAUUUGUCUUCCUUGUCAAAAUUUGUAGCAGUUUGAAUUGUCAAAAAAACAUAUGCGAAGAUGGUCGUGAAUUCUAUCACUGUGCUGCAAAUUGUAUUAUGGGUUUGAGGAAAAUUGUUGAAAAUUAUGGGUUUUCCAGGUCGUUUUGAAAUUAUGGGUUUGAGGGAAAUUGUAUGCAAUUUAUCUACACAAUUCAUAAAUCUCAAAAAGAAAAUAGAGGGAUUUUAUAUCUGCUACCGGAGACAGGUGACGAAGAACAAAGCAACAGUGGCGGCUAGCAGUUAGCGGCAGAGUAAUUAGAUAGUUUUCUGGUAAAUGGUAUGUGGGGGUGAAGAUGUUUUCUGAAAAGGGUAAAGUUGAAAAUUACUUUUGAAUGUAGGGGUAAAGGUAUAAAUGUUGGGGUAGAAAAAAAAAUUUCCCCAUAACUUAUGCCGUUUUCUUGUAGUGUUACUGUUUUUCUUUUCUAAAAUAUCUUAUAUGAAUUGGCAUAUCUAAUAAUAAUUUUCAUUCCUUCAUGUAUAAUUUGUGGAAUCAUGGUCAUCCAUAUAAAUAAUCAAUAGUACUAAAAUUUCUUUUUUUGGUUACACAAUAUUAAAAUUUCGUUACCUAUCAUAAUUUUCUCAAAUUUAUUUGUUGUAGCCUGUAGGGACGUCAUUGUGUCCUUUUUUGUCUUUUUCUAGUAGG
rnacentral:lncRNA from 1 species